GACGAACGCUGGCGGCGUGCUUAACACAUGCAAGUCGAACGGAAAGGCCCUGCUUUUGUGGGGUGCUCGAGUGGCGAACGGGUGAGUAACACGUGAGUAACCUGCCCUUGACUUUGGGAUAACUUCAGGAAACUGGGGCUAAUAUCGGAUAGGAGCUCCUGCUGCAUGGUGGGGGUUGGAAAGUUUCGGCGGUUGGGGCUGGACUCGCGGCUUAUCCGCUUGUUGGGGGGGUAGUGGCUUACCAAGGCUUUGAAGGGUAGCCGGCCUGAGAGGGUGACCGGCCACAUUGGGACUGAGGGACGGCCCAGACUCCUACGGGAGGCAGAAGUGGGGAAUAUUGCACAAUGGGCGGAAGCCUGAUGCAGCAACGCCGCGUGCGGGAUGAUGGCCUUCGGGUUGUAAACCGCUUUCGCCUGUGACGAAGCGUGAGUGACGGUAAUGGGUAAAGAAGCACCGGCUAACUACGUG
rnacentral:rRNA from 1 species